GAGUUUUUGCAGAUUUUCAAAUAAAACUCAGAGAUUCCUUUGUAUGACUCUCUCAUAUCUCUCUUUUGUGGUAUUUCUGGAUCCUUACCAAUGCAGUGAUGGUAUAUGCCUUCUCUCAAAACAUGUGGUAUUUGUGGUAUAAGGCAUAGUGACAUUGCCUUCUCUCUCACCCUACUCUAAUAAGGCUUUAAUAUCUGGAGCUCAUAGGUGGGAGAUAAAGUAUACAUACUUACAAGACAUGUAUUGCAUAGUCAAACCAUGGAUCCAAAGAAAUAAAUCAAUAAGCCAAAUCAAGAUGUGCAUGUGUGGCGAAUGAAUAGUGUAUGGUGAUGAUGGUGAUAACAAUGGUGAAAGUCUAAUUCUACUUUUGCUCUUUUAAGGGGAUACAUACCUUCCUUGCUUUUUGAAACUUUAUGAGGAGAAUGAGAUGCUCUUCUUUUUCUUUUCUCUCAGAUGGGUAUCCUGUACCCCUAAUUCUACUGUCAGACACUUGUCCAUUUUUACCUCUCGUCUCACUCUUUUUCUUUUCUUUCGAGGUUCCGGGCACUUGCCCCUUUUUAUUUCCUCGUUUAUUUUUUUUCUUUUCUUUUUUUUCUUCUUUUUUUUCAGAGCACUCAUCUCUUGAGAUAAUAUAGCAAGUGGUAGUAGCAAGAUAACUUGAGCAUUUAUUUCACAAGGGAAAAACACAGAUGUUUUUGGCUAUUCUCUCCCGAAUUAGGAGUAGAAUAUUUUUAGGUGAUUCUGGAGAUGGAAAUGGAUGGAUAUAUAUGGAUGGUACUUCCGGAGUAGAAGUAGCAUAUAUAUGAGUGAACGUGCAAGUGAAUCUUGAUUUAACCACAUGACAAGCUCCUAAGGGUCUACACAGCUUGACCACACUCAAUGCUCAUAAGCAGUAAAUAAUAAAUGUGUGGCUCAAAGUCUAGCAAGCAUGUAUAUAUGGCUGUGGUAGGAAUUUAAACUUUCAUCAUACAGGAACUCAUCAUGCAACAUUUUAAAGAUUUUUCAAAGAUAAAAUUCUCCAGAAUUCUAGCAUCUCUAGGAACAGAUAAACAGCAGCUCAACCUUCCCAUAUCUUAUCCGUUAACAACUUAGAUUUUAGAUCAAGUUUUCAUCCCACAAGUUUAGAUCUAGAGCAAGCUUUAAAUUAUAACAGUUAUGUCUAAACUUGAGAGAGAACUUCAAAUUUGCAAAUUAGGCAGAGCAACUAUUCAUCAUAUCCAUGCUAGAGUUUUAUUAUUAAGAUUCAUAGCAAACUUUAUUUAUUUAUUUAUUUAUUUAUUUAGCAAACUAAGAAAAGUAUAUAUAUAUAAGCAUAAAAUCUUUAUUUGGUUUUUCAUAGUUUAUGUAUUUUAAUAUUCUAAUAUAAUAUAAGUAUAAAGAUAGGUAGAAAUACUUAGCGAGAUAAAUAGGGGUGCUCUCCCUCAAGCUGAAUUUUGACGUAAUUUCUCUUGAUGUAGCUAGCAGGUGGCAGAGGUGUAUUUGAAAGUCAGCAGCAUUCUGACAGCAAUUAGAAUAUCCUCUAUCUUUCGGCGAGGGUUCAAUGUUUUAAGUCUUCUUAACAAGACUUCUCACCGUGUUCAUUCUUCAGGUGCGUCAUUUGAUUCAGGUGCGGACCUUGACGUCUGCACCUCUUGAUACGGUGUCGCCCAUAUUCUUCGUUUGCCCAGCAGUUCGAAGUGCGGUGUUAGCAGUAUCUUGCUCAAUGUGUUUGUGCUCGUAGUGUACCUGCUCAUAGAGACAAGGCAGAGAUCAAGUGAACCAAAAGUGUAUUUGUUCUUCUCUAACCUUAAGCAUAGUGAGCAAGACAAGUUGAUGGAUGAUAAGUUCAUGAGUGUAGCACUUAUAACAUUUGUCAGAUCAGAUCGCUCAACCUUAUGGAAAGAUAAUCUAUCUAUGUAUAUGUCUUUUUAUUUAUAUCUCUCAAUGAUUGAAUGUGUAACAUUUUAGCUCAUAUGAUUAGGAGUGUGGGAUCAUGGAGGUAGUACUAAGAACAAGGAUUAAAGGACUAAACAUGUUGAAUCAGUUGGGUUGGUUAAUCUAGAGUUGUAAAUCAUACACGUUUGUCUCUUUUAUUUAUAUGAACGCCAGAACCAAGGAGAAGCUUAUAAAAGUGAUAGUCAAGUACCUUAGGAUGUUACCUUGCUUGAAAAGUGAUGGUACAGUAUCACCUUGUGGAAGCUUUCCUUUCUUAGCGGUUGUGCAUCGUGUUCGUGGCACCCUCCAUGGAUCUUCACUUUAUGAUGAAUGAGCUAUGUCCUUCUUGUGCUAAUUGUUAAACUUCAUGUGUCACUUUCUUCGUCUCUGAUGUGAGUUUAUCUCAGGACUUCCCAAAUCGAUAUUGAAAGUUUUUCUGCAGGGGUUAGUCCAACAAAAUAUACCAAUAUCUACUCAAGCAGUUUUUAGUUCAAUAACCAAACUAGACUCCUUGUCUAAUCAGAUUAAGGAAGGCUAUUUAACCUAAGCACCAUGCUUAAUUUAAAUGCCAAUGGAAGUAUGGCGAGUACUUCCAAACCAACACUUGCUAGUAAAUAGACAACGGUAGCAUGACAGCGUUUAUAGAGAUCUACUCAAGUGGAGAUGAAGUAGUGUGAUUAGUAUUUAACAAAUUGAGCAUGUCUCAAAGGUAGGGACAACCAGCAUAGCAACAUGGCAAAGGAUGUUUUUAUGUAAAGUACUCCCCCAAGCUUGAAUUUUGCAAAAAUUCAAGUUUGGAUGAAUUUAAUUCAAUGUUGUAUGAUGAUUGGUUGGACAUACCUUGUGCUUGUCAUUCAUCCGAUCUUCUUGCUCCAAUCUUAGAAAGGUUAGUGACAAGAAUACCCGAAGGAAUAUAUUUUUUUUACAAUUAUCCUUAUAUGCUCAAUACACAAGGUAAUGUUGCAAAUAAUUAAAGGCUCAUGUUACGAUCUGAUCAAUGCUUAUUUUAAGACACUAAGCUUGUCCUUGGGAAACCAUCAGUUUAUGUUGGCGAAGUGGUUUCCCCUCCGACGCCAACCUAUAUCUAGAUCAACUCAACGAGAUCUGCAAUAUUUAUUAUAGACAUAUGCAUCGACAACCGCCCUUUUAAAGUUUUUAUAAAUAGAAAGGAAGAGGGGGUUGGAGAUCUCAAGUGUGGUGAUGUCGGAGAGACCAAUAGAUUGGGAAGAUGUUGCAUAUGAGCAUGGAGUAAACGAAGUGGCUAUGAAAUAAAUUCCAUGCUCAUUAAUGUUAUCUUCGUCUCUAAUCUGAAUGUUCGGAGUUUCUCCUGGAUUGGUCUCACCUAUGUCCUGUUCUGUAGUUGGAUGAAUCUCAUCUUCAAAGGGAGUCAAGAACUCACCAUUUGAAAUUGAGCCAAAGUCAGAACCUAUUAAGGCUUCUUUCUUAUCCAUCCAUUCUACACAUUCUAGCCAUUUAGAACUUGUGAUCAAAAUAGGGGAGGUGUUAGAAUUUUCUAUAUGGCUUAGCUCUCCUUCUAUGGCAUUACUUGACAUGCCAUCCUUAUGGUCUUCAUGACUCCUAUGGUUUGGUCGUCUUGGUGAAUUGCUAGGAUCAUCAUGAGAGUGAAAAGAAGAGGGAUAAGAGGGAUCUCUAAGGUCAAGGAUGGAUUUAGAACUUGUGAACAUGGAAGGGGAGUAGAUAGAAUUGUCUAUAUGGCUUAGCUCUCCUUCACUUGAUAUGUCAUCCUCGACUUCUUCAUGAUAGGAACCAGGACAUUCUCUAAGAGAAACAUUAUUGCAAUGAUUUGAAUUAUCCCUGCUUGAAGGUCUCUUAUAGAACUAGAAGUCUAAACCAUCAGCAUUUAAAAGAUUUAAGGUCGGAAUUCCUUCCUCCCUUGGAGAAUUUUGGGGUAUUGAUGGUUUAGAAUCGAUAGCUAAAGUUUGGGAUUGAAGUGGUUGUGAUCUGGCUAUCAAAACUUCUUCUUCUUGUCUAGGAACUGGUUCUUUCUCUUUCUCAGGGAUAUAAAAGCUAGGAGACUUUCCGCUCAUUAAAUCAAUCAAAUUCCAAGCUUCACUAGCGGAUAUGUGGUGGAAAGAUCCUCCAGAGGCCGCAUGAAGGGUUUGCCUAUUUUUCCUACUAAGGCCCUCAAAAAAGUGAAUUAGAAGAACUUCUUCUGGAAUAGAAAGUUUUGGGCCAGUGAGAGUAAGGUUAAUAAAGCGGUCCCAUGAUUUGCCAAGAGAUUCUUCUUCCAGUUGUCUAAAAGAAAGAAUCUCACGCCGAAGUUCCACCACUUUGGAGAUUGGAAAAUAUUUAGAUAGAAAACUACUAUAUAACUCCUUCCAAUCUCCAUGAACACUCCCUACUUUAAGUUUAUACCAAUGUCUAGCUUUUCCCGUUAAAGAGAACGGAAAGAGCUUCCAUUUAAGGGUCUCAUCGGACAUGCCUUCUAUGCGAAGGAGGUCACAGACUCGAUAAAACUCUCUAAGGUGUGUGUAUGGGUUUUCCUCACCUUCUCCUGAGAAAGGUUGUUUUUGAAUAAAUUCUAUGUAUUCGGGGUCUAUCUCAAAACUAGAUGCUAUGAUAGGCUUUGAAGAUUUUGGUGGUUCGAGAUGUGUGCCCAUAGGUCUAUGAAAUUCAUAGAUAGACAUGUUUGAAUUCAUGAUAGACCAGAGAUCAAGGAUUAGAUAAGAAGAAAGAUUAGCAGAGAUGAGGCAAAGGAUAAAAGGAAAAUAUUUUUUUUAUUAUUUUUUUUAAAAAAAUGAUUAAGCUAGUUCGUAGUCAACUCAGCAACCGUUUCCCCGGCAACGGUGCCAAAAAUGCUUGUUGACACUUGCUAACACCACUUGAAUACUAGGUUGUCAUCCCCAGCAUGGCACUAGAGUGUACUAUGGUAUUUAUACGCACACAGAUAAUCCGCAAGCGCACGGAUACCGUUGAAGCUUUUACCCGGUUAAAGGUUUUAUCGUAUCCACAGGGAAACGGGAGAACCAACUACGCUCUAACUUAACCAAGAUAGAUAGAUAGGUGUAAAUAGGAAAGAUGAUAGAAUCGAAUAAGAACAAUAUUAAAGGUAAGAUAACAGUGAGUGAUAAUAUGGGAAUAGAGAAUAGAGCAAUUCUAGUAUAUGGGCGAUGGUAGCAGAAUAGAGAGGAUAACUAUGGUUUCUCUACUUCAAAGGGGUAUGUCUAUGUCUGGGACGAACCACGUGAUAAGAGUACACCACAAAGGAUGCUUAUCCAUAGGCCGAUAAACCCUACCCGUCCUGCUAACGAGAGGUGGACUACAGGGGACCAACGUAACUGUCACCUACGCGGCCUACCACAUGAUCUAGCUAGUCGGGGGAUAUCCACAAGUAAUCUAGGUCUAAGCACCACGCUUACACCUAUACUACAACUCUAACCUAUAGGGUCCUAUAGAUUAGAAGUACUCAAAAGAGUUGUGAACCAGAACAUACAUGAUUAGUAAUUGCAUAAUGAAUUAGAAGUAGAUUACCAGAGUCAUCCCAUGAGCAAGCUUGAUUAGAGCUUGAUCAUGGCGAAGUACAACCGGAGGAAGAACAGACAGGCCGGCCUCUCCUCUAAUCCUCCUUCGCUCUCCACCUCGCUACUAUCUAGAUCUACUCUAGUUUAGAGAAGAGAGGAGAGCUCUCAUCUCUAAACCCUAGCUUUUGCUCUGUCUAUGAAUAAUGAAUAAUGAUCAAGGGGUUGUCUCCUCCAGGGGCCAGGGGGUCUGGUUUUAUAGUCCCCUCAAGUGAACCUGGGCCGUCGGAUCAAACCGACAUUGAUUGAACGGUUAUUCUUGAUCCUUUAGGUCGGUGGAGCAUAAUCCGCGAGAUUGAGCGUGAUUGGCCACAGGAGGUGGGCGGGCACCCAGUAGGACAGGGCGGGCACCCUGUCUCUGGCCCCGAUUCGCCUCCGCUUCGGUCUCGUGGCUUCUGGAGUCUUCUAGAUGUAAGAUAAUUGCGCGGCACGUUAAUAUCUUUACGUAAUCCCGACGUGUGGGCCUUUCUUCCUUAUUUCCUGAUAACCCCCUGCAGAAAUAGACAAACACCAAAACUCGUAGAAUUCUGUCAAAUAAAACCCUAAGUCUAGAUGUUGAUUUCAUUUGGAUCCUUUUCUUUGUUUAUUUGAUAAUUAAAUUUGAUACUUAAGGACCGUCAACAAACUCCCCCAAGCUUACCUCUUGCUCGUCCCUGAGCAAGGAUAGACUCAGCUAUAGAUCAUAAGUUGUUGCAAUAUCUUUAAUAAUUGACGGUACACAUGCUUUUACAUGAGGUCUCAUCUCUGAGUUAGAGUAAACUGUCAAGACUUAAAACUUACUUACUUUACCUUUCACCAUGGGACUUGUAACCGUCACUUCUGUCUUGAGUGGUUAAAAGCUAGAACAGUCCAGUCAAGUGCCAUGUCGCUUAUUCUUGAUCAGCUAUAGCUCUGGAGUUUUUGCAGAUUUUCAAAUAAAACUCAGAGAUUCCUUUGUAUGACUCUCUCAUAUCUCUCUUUUGUGGUAUUUCUGGAUCCUUACCAAGGCAGUGAUGGUAUAUGCCUUCUCUCAAAACAUGUGGUAUUUGUGGUAUAAGGCAUAGUGACAUUGCCUUCUCUCUCACCCUACUCUAAUAAGGCUUUAAUAUCUGGAGCUCAUAGGUGGGAGAUAAAGUAUACAUACUUACAAGACAUGUAUUGCAUAGUCAAACCAUGGAUCCAAAGAAACAAAUCAAUAAGCCAAAUCAAGAUGUGCAUGUGUGGCGAAUGAAUAGUGUAUGGUGAUGAUGGUGAUAACAAUGGUGAAAGUCUAAUUCUACUUUUGCUCUUUUGAGGGGAUACAUACCUUCCUUGCUUUUUGAAACUUUAUGAGAAGAAUGAGAUGCUAUUCUUUUUCUUUUCUCUCACAUGGGUAUCCUGUACCCCUAAUUCUACUGUCGGACACUUGUCCAUUUUUACCUCUCGUCUCACUCUUUUUCUUUUCUUUCGAGGUUCCGGGCACUUGCCCCUUUUUAUUUCCUCGUUUAUUUUUUUUUUCUUUUCUUUUUUUCUUCUUCUUUUUUUUCAGAGCACUCAUCUCUUGAGAUAAUAUAGCAAGUGGUAGUAGCAAGAUAACUUGAGCAUUUAUUUCACAAGGGAAAAACACAGAUGUUUUUGGCUAUUCUCUCCCGAAUUAGGAGUACAAUAUUUUUAGGUGAUUCUGGAGAUGGAAAUGGAUGGAUAUAUAUGGAUGGUACUUUCGGAGUAGAAGUAGCAUAUAUAUGAGUGAACGUGCAAGUGAAUCUUGAUUUAACCACAUGACAAGCUCCUAAGGGUCUACACAGCUUGACCACACUCAAUGCUCAUAAGCAGUAAAUAAUAAAUGUGUGGCUCAAAGUCUAGCAAGCAUGUAUAUAUGGCUGUGGUAGGAAUUUAAACUUUCAUCAUACAGGAACUCAUCAUGCAACAUUUUAAAGAUUUUUCAAAGAUAAAAUUCUCCAGAAUUCUAGCAUCUCUAGGAACAGAUAAACAGCAGCUCAACCUUCCCAUAUCUUAUCCGUUAACAACUUAGAUUUUAGAUCAAGUUUUCAUCCCACAAGUUUAGAUCUAGAGCAAGCUUUAAAUUAUAACAUCUAUGUCUAAACUUGAGAGAGAACUUCAAAUUUGCAAAUUAGGCAGAGCAACUAUUCAUCAUAUCCAUGCUAGAGUUUUAUUAUUAAGAUUCAUAGCAAACUUUAUUUAUUUAUUUAUUUAUUUAGCAAACUAAGAAAAGUAUAUAUAUAUAAGCAUAAAAUCUUUAUUUGGUUUUUCAUAGUUUAUGUAUUUUAAUAUUCUAAUAUAAUAUAAGUAUAAAGGUAGGUAUAAAUACUUAGCGAGAUAAAUAGGGGUGCUCUCCCUCAAGCUGAAUUUUGACGUAAUUUCUCUUGAUGUAGCUAGCAGGUGGCAGAGGGGUAUUUGAAAGUCAGCAGCAUUCUGACAGCAAUUAGAAUAUCCUCUAUCUUUCGGCGAGGGUUCAAUGUUUUAAGUCUUCUUAACAAGACUUCUCACCGUGUUCAUUCUUCAGGUGCGUCAUUUGAUUCAGGUGCGGACCUUGACGUCUGCACCUCUUGAUACGGUGUCACCCAUAUUCUUCGUUUGCCCAGCAGUUCGAAGUGCGGUGUUAGCAGUAUCUUGCUCAAUGUGUUUGUGCCCGUAGUGUACCUGCUCAUAGAGACAAGGCAGAGAUCAAGUGAACCAAAAGUGUAUUUGUUCUUCUCUAACCUUAAGCAUAGUGAGCAAGACAAGUUGAUGGAUGAUAAGUUCAUGAGUGUAGCACUUAUAACAUUUGUCAGAUCAGAUCGCUCAACCUUAUGGAAAGAUAAUAUAUCUAUGUAUAGGUCUUUUUAUUUAUAUCUCUCAAUGAUUGAAUGUGUAACAUUUUAGCUCAUAUGAUUAGGAGUGUGGGAUCAUGGAGGUAGUACUAAGAACAAGGAUUAAAGGACUAAACAUGUUGAAUCAGUUGGGUUGGUUAAUCUAGAGUUGUAAAUCAUACACGUUUGUCUCUUUUAUUUAUAUGAACGCCAGAACCAAGGAGAAGCUUAUAAAAGUGAUAGUCAAGUACCUUAGGAUGUUACCUUGCUUGAAAAGUGAUGGUACAGUAUCACCUUGUGGAAGCUUUCCUUUCUUAGCGGUUGUGCAUCGUGUUCGUGGCACCCUCCAUGGAUCUUCACUUUAUGAUGAAUGAGCUAUGUCCUUCUUGUGCUAAUUGUUAAACUUCAUGUGUCACUUUCUUCGUCUCUGAUGUGAGUUUAUCUCAGGACUUCCCAAAUCGAUAUUGAAAGUUUUUCUGCAGGGGUUAGUCCGACAAAAUAUACCAAUAUCUACUCAAGCAGUUUUUAGUUCAAUAACCAAACUAGACUCCAUGUCUAAUCAGAUUAAGGAAGGCUAUUUAACCUAAGCACCAUGCUUUAUUUAAAUGCCAAUGGAAGUAUGGCGAGUACUUCCAAACCAACACUUGCUAGUAAAUAGACAACGGUAGCAUGACAGCGUUUAUAGAGAUCUACUCAAGUGGAGAUGAAGUAGUGUGAUUAGUAUUUAACAAAUUGAGCAUGUCUCAAAGGUAGGGACAACCAGCAUAGCAACAUGGCAAAGGAUGUUUUUAUGUAAAGUACUCCCCCAAGCUUGAAUUUUGCAAAAAUUCAAGUUUGGAUGAAUUUAAUUCAAUGUUGUAUGAUGAUUGGUUGGACAUACCUUGUGCUUGUCAUUCAUCCGAUCUUCUUGCUCCAAUCUUAGAAAGGUUAGUGACAAGAAUACCCGAAGGAAUAUAUUUUUUUUUACAAUUAUCCUUAUAUGCUCAAUACACAAGGUAAUGUUGCAAAUAAUUAAAGGCUCAUGUUACGAUCUGAUCAAUGCUUAUUUUAAGACACUAAGCUUGUCCUUGGGAAACCAUCAGUUUAUGUUGGCGAAGUGGUUUCCCCUCCGACGCCAACCUAUAUCUAGAUCAACUCAACGUGAUCUGCAAUAUUUAUUAUAGACAUAUGCAUCGACAACCGCCCUUUUAAAGUUUUUAUAAAUUGAAAGGAAGAGGGGGUUGGAGAUCUCAAGUGUGGUGAUGUCGGAGAGACCAAUAGAUUGGGAAGAUGUUGCAU
rnacentral:lncRNA from 1 species